GACGAACGCUGGCGGCGUGCUUAACACAUGCAAGUCGAACGAGAGGACAAGAGAAGCUUGCUUCUUUUGGAAUCGAGUGGCAAACGGGUGAGUAACACGUAAACAACCUGCCUUCAGGAUGGGGACAACAGACGGAAACGACUGCUAAUACCGAAUACGCUUGGGAGACCGCAUGAUCUACCAAGGAAAGGGUGGCCUCUACCUGUAAGCUAUCGCCUGAAGAGGGGUUUGCGUCUGAUUAGGCAGUUGGUGAGGUAACGGCCCACCAAACCUACGAUCAGUAGCCGGUCUGAGAGGAUGAACGGCCACACUGGAACUGAGACACGGUCCAGACUCCUACGGGAGGCAGCAGUGGGGAAUCUUCCGCAAUGGGCGAAAGCCUGACGGAGCAACGCCGCGUGAGUGAUGACGG
rnacentral:rRNA from 1 species